UUAAAUUGAAGAGUUUGAUCAUGGCUCAGAUUGAACGCUGGCGGCAGGCCUAACACAUGCAAGUCGAACGGUAACAGAAAGAAGCUUGCUUCUUUGCUGACGAGUGGCGGACGGGUGAGUAAUGUCUGGGAAACUGCCUGAUGGAGGGGGAUAACUACUGGAAACGGUAGCUAAUACCGCAUAACGUCGCAAGACCAAAGAGGGG
rnacentral:rRNA from 1 species